GACGAACGCUGGCGGCGUGCUUAACACAUGCAAGUCGAACGGAAAGGCCCUGCUUUUGUGGGGUGCUCGAGUGGCGAACGGGUGAGUAACACGUGAGUAACCUGCCCUUGACUUUGGGAUAACUUCAGGAAACUGGGGCUAAUACCGGAUAGGAGCUCCUGCUGCAUGGUGGGGGUUGGAACGUUUCGGCGGUUGGGGAUGGACUCGCGGCUUAUCAGCUUGUUGGUGGGGUAGUGGCUUACCAAGGCUUUGACGGGUAGCCGGCCUGAGAGGGUGACCGGCAAAAUUGGGACUGAGAUAAGGCCCAGACUCCUACGGGAGGAAGCAGUGGGGAAUAAUGCACAAUGGGCGGAAGCCUGAUGCAGCAACGCCGCGGGCGGGAUGAAGGCCUGCGGGUUGUAAACCGAUUUCGACUGUGACGAAGCGGGAGUGACGGUAAUGGGUAAAGAAGCACCGGCUAACUACGUG
rnacentral:rRNA from 1 species